CACCUACAUACUAUUGCCCUACGGUCAUCGGACCAGAGUUCUGAAGAGAGUAUUCAGACGCUCAUCAACUAAGUCACUAGAGACAUUGCCUUACUUUUGAAGAGAGUAUUCAGACGCUCAUCGGACCAGAGUUCAACCCUAACAGCAGUCGGAGCUCUUAAUUGUGCAGAGGUUAGCUUUUCUGCUUUGAGAAGACAUGGUGAACAGAAAUGGAAGAGAGGCAAGAGUGGUGGUGGGAGAGCCUCCUGGAAGAGUGUCAGGGCCAACUAAAAUCUACGAGAAGAAGUGUUGCCACUGCUGAAAUCUUUAGGCUGAAUUCCAAAAUUGUUUUUUUUUUUAAUUUGUUACUCUUUUCUUCUUCUUUUUUUUUUUAUUUUUUUUUACAAAAUUUUGUAAUGAUUAUGAGGCAACUUGUUCCUAUUGUCUUUGUAAAGUAAACAUGUAUUUAGAUCAGUUAUGAAGUUAUAUAAAAUGGCAGUGGUUUGA